CCUACGGGAGGCUGCAGUAGGGAAUAUUGCUCAAUGGGGGAAACCCUGAAGCAGCAACGCCGCGUGGAGGAUGAAGGUUUUAGGAUUGUAAACUCCUUUUGUUAGAGAAGAUUAUGACGGUUUCUAACGAAUAAGCACCGGCUAACUCCGUCCCAGCAGCCGCGGUAAUACGGAGGGUGCAAGCGUUACUCGGAAUCACUGGGCGGAAAGGGUGCGUAGGCGGAAUGCCAAGUCAGCGGUAAAAUCUCGGGGGUAAACCUCGCUCCGACGUUGAGACUGGCGUUCUUGAGUGGGCGAGAAGUAUGCGGAAUGCGUGGUGUAGCGGUGAAAUGCAUAGAUAUCACGCAGAACUCCGAUGGCGAAGGCAGCAUACCGGCGCCCAACUGACGCUGAAGCACGAAAGCGUGGGUAGCGAACAGGAUUAGAUACCCGUGUAGUC
rnacentral:rRNA from 1 species